CCUACGGGAGGCAGCAGUGAGGAAUAUUGGACAAUGGGCGAGAGCCUGAACCAGCCAAGUCGCGUGAAGGAUGACUGCCCUCCGGGUUGUAAACUUCUUUUAUAAAGGAAUAAAGUGAGGCACGUGUGCCUUUUUGUAUGUACUUUAUGAAUAAGGAUCGGCUAACUUCGUGCCAGCAGCCGCGGUAAUACGGAGGAUCCGAGCGUUAUCCGGAUUGAUUGGGUUUAAAGGGAGCGUAGAUGGGUAGUUAAGUCAGUUGUGAAAGUUUGCGGCUCAACCGUAAAAUUGCAAUUGAUACUGGCAGUCUUGAGUGCAGGUGAGGUAGGCGGAAUUCGUGGUGUAGCGGUGAAAUGCUUAGAUAUCACGAAGAACACCGAUUGCGAAGGCAGCUUACUAAACUGCCACUGACAUUGAUGCUCGAAAGUGUGGGUAGCAAACAGGAUUAGAUACCCCUGUAGUC
rnacentral:rRNA from 1 species